rnacentral:rRNA from 1 species
UUGCUGACGAGUGGCGGACGGGUGAGUAAUGCUUGGGAAUCUGGCUUAUGGAGGGGGAUAACUGUGGGAAACUGCAGCUAAUACCGCGUAUUCUCUGAGGAGGAAAGGGUGGGACCUUAGGGCCACCUGCCAUAAGAUGAGCCCAAGUGGGAUUAGGUAGUUGGUGGGGUAAAGGCCUACCAAGCCUGCGAUCUCUAGCUGGUCUGAGAGGAUGACCAGCCACACUGGAACUGAGACACGGUCCAGACUCCUACGGGAGGCAGCAGUGGGGAAUAUUGCGCAAUGGGGGGAACCCUGACGCAGCCAUGCCGCGUGAAUGAAGAAGGCCUUCGGGUUGUAAAGUUCUUUCGGUAAUGAGGAAGGGAUGUUGUUAAAUAGAUAGCAUCAUUGACGUUAAUUACAGAAGAAGCACCGGCUAACUCCGUGCCAGCAGCCGCGGUAAUACGGAGGGUGCGAGCGUUAAUCGGAAUAACUGGGCGUAAAGGGCACGCAGGCGGACUUUUAAGUGAGAUGUGAAAUCCCCGAGCUUAACUUGGGAGCUGCAUUUCAAACUGGGAGUCUAGAGUACUUUAGGGAGGGGUAGAAUUCCACGUGUAGCGGUG